GGAGUCUGGGCCGUGUCUCAGUCCCAAUGUGGCCGUUCACCCUCUCAGGCCGGCUACGCAUCAUCGCCUUGGUGAGCCGUUACCUCACCAACAAGCUAAUGCGCCGUAAGUCCAUCCUAUAGCGAUGCAAACGCACCUUUAAUAAUUCGAAGAUGCCUUCAAAUUACCUAUGGGGUAUUAAUAGUCGUUUCCAACUGCUAUCCCCCACUUCAGGGCAGGUUACCUACGUAUUACUCACCCGUUCGCCACUCAUCCACUUCUAGCAAGCUAGAAGCUUCAGCGUUCGACUUGCAUGUAUUAAGCACGCCGCCAGCGUUCAUC
rnacentral:rRNA from 1 species